rnacentral:lncRNA from 1 species
UAAAACUCACCAACUACAUUAACAAUGAAAGAGCAAACUUGGAAUAGACAGGAGGACCUAAUAUGAGUAUCAUUGCAUUUAUGGUCAUUCGAAAAGAGAGAAAGGGAAAAAGGUCAACACCUCAAUUGACACAAGGUACAAUACUUUCUUUAGUGCAUUAGUACAAUAAUUGCAAAGCCCGAGUACAAUAACUCUAAUAGGAAUUUGUUAUUCAAAUAAAUCAAUUUUUUAAUUUUUUUUCUUUAAAAUAAUUCAUUUUUCAGAUUAUUUUCUAAAAUACCUCAUUU